AUUGAACGCUGGCGGCAGGCCUAACACAUGCAAGUCGAACGAGUGGCGGACGGGUGAGUAAUGUCUGGGAAACUGCCUGAUGGAGGGGGAUAACUACUGGAAACGGUAGCUAAUACCGCAUACCAUCAGAUGUGCCCAGAUGGGAUUAGCUGGUUGGUGGGGUAACGGCUCACCAAGGCGACGAGCCCUAGAGGGUCUGAGAGGAUGACCACCCAAACGGGAACGUGGACACAGUCCAGACUCCUACGGGAGGCAGCAGUGGGGAAUAUUGCACAAUGGGCGAAAGCCUGAUGCAGCCAUGCCGCGUGUAUGAAUAAGGCCUUCGGGUUGUAAAGUACUUUCAGCGGGGAGGCGUUACCCGCAGAAGAAGCACCGGCUAACUCCGUGCCAGCCGCCGCGGUAAUAC
rnacentral:rRNA from 1 species